AAGGCUAUAGCUUAAUAGGUAAAGCAAGCUGCUCAUAACAGCUCAGAUGAGUGUUCAAGUCAUUCUGGCCUUA
rfam:Pyrenophora tritici-repentis Pt-1C-BFP supercont1.48 mitochondrial scaffold, whole genome shotgun sequence.